rnacentral:rRNA from 1 species
GAGGAGAGAAGGAGUGCGAACAGAUAUGGGUUGUAAUAUGUCCGUGUCGGAAGGAGGAGAGCAGAGAAGCGGAGCGAACAUCGUGGUCGUCAAACAAAAAGCGUAGGGGGAGAUGGAGGCUGGGGAGGACUUAAGGCUGGACUUAGGUCGAGGGGGGUGCCGCAGCCGCAGCGGAAGAAGUCCUUAUAAACCAAAGAACUGGCUUUGGGACCGCCACCUUCUACCUACGGUUGUUCCUGUUUCCCUUACUGUUCUACGUAAACUCCCUAACCAGCAGGGUCCUCCGAGACGCGUGUAUGUUCUCUGCGGCAGUCGGUCUCGGACUCGGACUCGGGUUCGGGCACCUACACGGCCUCGUCGUCCAAUUACUAUGAAAGACCUUUUCAUCCCUAUAACCUACCUUCGUGCCCUAUUACUAACUACUUUUGUCUGUUGUGACCUUCACAUACAUAACAGUGGACUGAUCCAUACCACCACCACACAGAUCUGAGUUUGCCGUAGAACGACCACUAAACCUACAGUUUUACACGGGUUUCCAAGGUCGUCUACAACGACUUUUAUAAUCCCUCGUAAACGUCUUCUUUUCUCUCUCUGCUUUCUGCGCUCGACGUGUCUUACCACAGUUGUCACACUGGUCCUCGAGACGACUACUAUGGUUCCGACUCUUCCUAGGAAAUGGACAACUGAAUCUCCACGGUUGAGCUUAUCUGUGAAUGUAAGAACUUCUUCCGUGAUUGGACUGUUUACGCCUAGUAGUCCUCGGAUGGUAAAAAUCCGGAGGGAACAACGAUGCUCCCCAUUCCCUAUAACCCACCCUCGUACGCCACCUAGAACUACCUUUAUUUUUUGCCACCGUCACGUUCACCACACUAAAUACAGCUUCACCACCCCAUUGAUGUAACUUCCGAGUAGAAUGACUGUCGUCGACGGGUUUUUAAGGUUACCUUUACAGUUUCGUUCACAACGUGAAGCAACUUCUCUUUUCUCGUCGUGCUGUUGAAAAAUUAUCCCUGGGUACCGGGGGAAUGUUCUUUUAACUACCCCAAUCAGAAAAAACGAGUCUUCCCUUUCUCCUCCCCUGACAUAGUAUAUUCUUACCAGUCGUUGGAAGUUUAUUACCAUACGUAUACGUUUGUAGUCCCUUAACGUGAUAACUGCUCAACCGUCGAGCUUCGUUGGUCACACCAUGUCUUGUAUCACCGGUUGGUCAACUCCUAAUACUUGUCAGUUUCUUUCCGUCACUAACGCGUCUCCUCGUCAACGGUUAGCUCUUACCGUUCGUGGUACAUGAUUUAUUACUCGUGGUGUAACAACUGUUCUUGUUACCCUUAGGUGUUUUGUCUCUCUUCAACUUGAAUCUCACACUAUUGAGUUAUGUUCCACGGCAUUGAUGUAACUUCCGAGUAGAAUGACCUAGUCUUCUCCUUCCCUGACAUGGUACAUUCCUACUAGUCGUUGGAAGUUUAUUACCAUACGUAUACGUUUGUAGCCUCUUCACGCGAUAACUAGUCAACCGUCGAGCUUCGUUGGUUACGUCAUUUGUAGUAACACCUGUUGGUCAACUCUUAAUACUUGUCAGUUUCUAUACGUCACUAACCGGGCUCCUCGUCAAUGGUUACCUCGUACUUUUCGUAGUACAUGAUUUAUUACUCGUGGUCUAACACCUGUUCUUGUGACUCUUAAGUGUUUUGUUUGUCUAUAACUUUGUAGGAGCCUUCUGGUCCAAAUUGAAUGCCUUUGUAUAACAAUAGUAACUACUUUAACGUUCCGUAACCUCCACAUCCAUGACACCAUACCUACCUGUACCGUUUUGUAGAUCCGAGGUAAUAGUAGAACGACCGCAGAAAGCAGUAGGAUUCACGUGUUCACAGGGAUUUCUUCAAAAACGUUUCCGUUUUGUGGUAUAAGAUUAUUUCUCUUCCGGGCCCUACUUUUUCUGACCCGUCGUUCGAGGAGGUCUCGGUGUUUAAGAACGCGUUAGGUCACAUUAUGACCUCUUGUUACUAGGUCGUAAAUCGUUAGAAGGUGUUAACGGUUAUUUACUAAACAGCUCGCUCCACGUAAGGUCAAUGGGCUGUUCCAAUUCCCUGUUACGUACCCUUGUAAGUGACCAAAAACUGUCUCUUUUUCCUGUGACCUUCACGUUCACCACGUCGAAUCUCCCAAUAGUACCACAUUGAUCUAAUUUCACCGUAGAACAACCGACCGUUUUAGUAGGAGCUACGACAUUUUAAGGCCUUCUACGGCGAUUCUCCCAAUCUCUGGUUUACUAUAGUUCCCUUUUCUUCUUUCACUCUUCUAGUCCAGGUGUACGGCCAUAACUGUCACCACUGUAAGAAACGAGAAGAUACUCAAGUGUUAAACUACUUCUAGUAAAGUGAUAUCGACACGACUUAUCAUCAAGAAGGGUUCGAAAACUACUUCGAUUGUCUUGUAGUUUAUGUACGUUGUGCAAUAGUUUAUGAUAUAGGCCAAGAGUCGGUGAGUACCUCCCCGGAGUGCCUUAUAAUAUAUCAUUGUUUUUGUUUAGACUCUACGAUAGAUCUUCUUCACUGACAACCUCAGUGACCUCUAUACAAAACUUACCUGACUACGUAAACGUACCACAUGUCCUCCCACGACCGUAGGUCUCAACGUAGGCACUACAGGAGGUGUCAACGAGACUUAAACUUAGAGAGUCCCUGUUUCACCUUUACCUAAGACUGUCUUGUCACAGUUGCUUAUGCCCAUAACGACUCACGUUCUUGCAAGAACACCUGUAAAACUCUAGUCUCCUAAAACGGAACAAUACGUUACAAGAAGCGUUUUGACACGUAGUUCUACUCCUUUCCUGAUUCAUAAAGCUAAAACCACACUAACUGAGAUCUUACUUUUUACCUCUCAUACCCACACGUGGACUUUAUAAGUUUCUACUAAAUUUUGACAAUACCCUUUUAGAAUUUUACCGACCGGUUCUAUAGUAACUGGAUCGUUUAUUAGAAAGUUCGGAGUGUCUUCGGAGGAUGUGUUUAGUCCAACCUUCUGUUUCUCCUAGUGCACUAACACUCCUCCUUGAGUUCCCUCGACACAACCCGUCGAGACUUGGGUUCUUUAACCAGCUUAGUCGAUGUAGUCAUGGGAGGUGGAGUGUCCCUACGGUUGGUAACCUGAUAGGUCUGGCUUGUUUACAAAGACUACAAGUUUUCCCGUCACGGACACUGGUUACACCGUUCCUCUGUUCUCCACAGUCGUGGCAGUAUACAUUACAGACGUUCAAUCACACAGUGUACAGUACGUAACUAGGAGGCUAUGCUAGGUGCAGCUGCCCUUCGACCAUAACGUUUCCGACGGCGUCAUGGUGGACGUUGCUUAGUCGAGUUCCUCCAAUACUUGGCUUAACGCACGUACCUUUAACACAGGAUACGUUUUCUGAACUCCACACGUCGGUGGGUCUUACGUUUCUUGUCUGUGGACAACCAUUCAGUUCUCGUUGACACGAAAGGUCAUGACUCCCAGCCCUUGACAGCUUGUAACUGGGGCCACCAAGUACGUUCUAUACACCUUGAGGACUUCUCCUACGGUUCUCUAAGGAGUAUACACCAGUGUCGGUGACAGGUAUGUUCAUGAUGGUGUAAACGACAGACUUCAGAUUUGUCUAACGAUCGCUAUACGUCGCCCUGUUUGGCACGACCAUGACAGGUAGUACGGAAACAGCCCAAACAGAUAGACUGUCUCUACUGCUGGACUGGUAAGACACGCUGCCGACGCUGCUCCGAAUAGUAGACAUGACGUAUUGUGGAGCCGCAUGAACCUAUGGGUUCCCCUUCACCAUAACGAGCGCAACAUCGCACCUCUCCCGUUUCCGCCCCUACUCUGCCAUACUCUUCUUCUACGACUUCGUCGUAGCGUUCCUACUACUACGCUCCGACCUUUCAUCCUUAAAACGUCGCCACCUAAAUAACGAAAGACGACGUCUCUUCGACUCCCUCCUACUCGUUCACCACCGAACACGUCUAAUGAUCUCUUCCAUCUACGAUCAUCAUAUAGUACCACACCGGAGCAAGAAGAAAGUCAACACAUUGACCUGUGUGGGCUUUCAGAACCACAAAAGAACAGCAGUCUUAGGGGUAGUAGCCAAAACCUAGUUCAACGAAUCUUGGUCUUACCGUACACUACGAACUGGUCGUCUCCUGUACGUAGGACAUCCUUCAACCAAUCAACCCAAGUACUGAAUAAAACUCGAUGUGAUGAAAGAGUCGUUGUUUUGAACUUCUCUUGAACCCAUAAGGACAUGUUACAAUCACAACAACUUACCUCAAAAAAGUUCCUACUAGUAUCUAUUCGUUAGGGAGCGUUUUUUCUCUUCUUCUAGUAUCUAUUCGUUGCGGAUCUACCGAGGUCUUUCCAAAAUGUAAUGUGGGUGCCGAGGAUCUCGGGUGCAGAAGUGUGCGACUGUUGAGCGACAGUCUGUUGGGAACAUGGGAUCUUACGUUGUGCGACGGGAGGUCAAAACAGGGAGAUCAACAUGGACGACUCGUGUGUUGUGAUCGGCUUCCACUUCGUAGCAACUUGUGGUGGGACAAGGCUACAAAGGUUUCAAAGGUUCGGUGGCCACAGUGUGGACAGGUUUCACAGAGUUUUAAGAGCCGGAUGGUGAACUGUUCGAGCCUCAGUACCAACCCAUCGGUCACCCCAGAAGGGGUUACGACGACGGCCUCGCCCCUUUCCCUGGGUGAGAACAACAUCUAUUCGAGACGGCUUUGAGGCAAUUGUUCUUCUCGUUGCGAUCCGCGACCGUGCGGCCGGGUUUAAACCCGGCCAGCGCGGGAUCGGUGGCCUACGGUGAUCGGGACUGGCAACCUAUAUCGUUUUUUUUUCCCAAGCGGGAUCUGUAGAAGGAGGAGCGCGAGCACGUCGAGAGGCGUAGAGCGGCAGAGCGCGUCGAAAUGAAGCCGCGGCGCGAACAGAAGAUGAACGCGGCGGUCGCGAGUAGGAGCCUGAGCCCGAGCGUCCGUUAGGCGCGAGCGGCGGCGUAGGAACCGGCGGGGUGCAAGCAGGAGCCCGAGCACGAGCGGCCGUUGGGUGCCCGGCGGCGUAGGAACCGGCGCGCGCGUAUAGCCGGUACCGUUGGGGACACCUCUACCGGUGUAGUGGGGCAGCAGCUCGAGCGCGGCAUGGAGCGUGAGUUAAACGACCAGUGUUGUUGUUUUUAGUGCCCAGCACCGUUUUAUUGUACAGCCAAGGUCGUUUUUAGUGAAGUGGAGUGGCCGCGCCGGGUAGGGGGAGGGAGCGGGAGGACGUCUUUGUUACCGCUGCUGAGGUACCAGAGCGUCGUUUGCCGUCACCAUCGUUUAUAACCGGUACCAAGGUCGUUUAGUUUAUUACCACCAUCGUUUUUUUGCCUUAGUCUGCGGUAAGGUUGUUUGGUUUUAGACCACCAUCGUUUUUAACUUCGAAUAAGAUCGUAAGGUUUUGCGGCCACCAUCGUUUCUACGUUUCAACUCCCGACCAAGGUCGUAAAGUUUUUAGGCCACCAUCGUUUUUAACUGCGACCAAGGUCGUUUUAUGUUUUGUCACCAUCGUUUUUUAUGUUUUUUACUGUAAUCAAAGUCGUUUUGGUUUUGAAGCUACCUUCUUUUUUUAACACGACUAAGGUCGUAGACCGGCGGCACCACCAUCGUUUCUACGUAUCAGCUCCCCGACCAAGGUCGUUUAGUUUUUAGACCACCAUCGCUUUUUACUACGACCAAGGUCUUUUUUUGUUUUGCCACCAUCGUUUUGUAAUUUUUUGCCGCGAUCAAAGUCGUUUUUUGUUUUGCGGUUAUCUUCGUUUUUAAACAUACCCAAGGUCGUAGAUCGGCGGUACCAACAUUGAGAGCGGUCGUAGGUACCCACGCAGGGGGGCGUGGUGGUAGUCCGGGCAGCCGCGGGUGGACCACAACGUCGUAGCGGUGGGGUGUGUUGGGUCGCUACGCCGGUUCUUGAGCGUUUUGACUGGAACGAACGUCAGCGGUACGAACUUAACCUAACUCUCUCUGUAUCUCUAUCUCGCCGCCACCUCUUGCUUACCAACUCCUCAGAGCACUCCUUCUCUAUUCCGACCCACUCGCACUCCUUCUCUAUUCCAACCCACUCGUCUACCCGGUCGUCGGCGUGCUCCGGGUGCGCGAUCACACAACCGCACUUCUUCUUAUACCUUGUAUGCUAACGAA